rnacentral:rRNA from 1 species
ACGUAGGGUGCAAGCGUUGUCCGGAUUUAUUGGGCGUAAAGAGCUCGUAGGCGGUUAGACACGUCGGAUGUGAAAACUGGUGGCUCAACCACCAGCCUGCAUUCGAUACGGUCUGACUUGAAUGUGGUAGGGGUAACUGGAAUUCCUGGUGUAGCGGUGAAAUGCGCAGAUAUCAGGAGGAACACCGAUGGCGAAGGCAGGUUACUGGGCCAAUAUUGACGCUGAGGAGCGAAAGCGUGGGGAGCAAACAGGAUUAGAUACCCUGGUAGUCCACGCCGUAAACGGUGGGCACUAGAUGUGGAGACCUUUCCAUGGUUUCUGCGUCGCAGCUAACGCAUUAAGUGCCCCGCCUGGGGAGUACGGCCGCAAGGCUA